UACAGAGGUCCCAAGCGUUGUUCGGAUUCACUGGGCGUAAAGGGUGCGUAGGCGGUCGGGUAAGUCUGAUGUGAAAUCUCACAGCUUAACUGUGAAACUGCAUUGGAUACUAUUCGGCUUGAGAGUUGGAGGGGGACUGGAAUUCUUGGUGUAGCAGUGAAAUGCGUAGAUAUCAAGAGGAACACCAGUGGCGAAGGCGAGUCCCUGGACAACUUCUGACACUGAGGCACGAAAGCUAGGGGAGCAAACAGG
rnacentral:rRNA from 1 species